rnacentral:lncRNA from 9 species
CCGCUAGGAGGCAUUGUUGGAGCCCCCAGGGUCUGAGGUGCGCGGGGCCACCGGGCCGGUCGAAGGCGCGAGAGCGGAGUCCAGAGCGGGACCCGAGGAGGACAGGAAGUGAGAGGAAGGAUCCCCGCCGGGUGUCUUGCUGCCUCUGGCACCUGACCUGUUCCAGACAAAGCCACCUUCCGCUCAGAAGUCUUUUCCUGUCCUCUCCCAGGCAUAGCUGCGGCAUCCCCUGCUCCGCCUGGCCCGAGUGUCAGGCCCUCGUGUCUGUGAGUUCUGGUGGCACUCUGUACCUGCCCGCCCCGUCCUCCCCAGGGCUCGUCCUCCCCAGGGCUCUUCCUCCCGGGCGGGUGGCUGCUGUCCCGGAGACCGUGGCCCCUGCAGGGGCGCAGAGUCCCUUGAAGGCAAGGACAGAGUCUCCUCGGCUCUGUAAGCCCGGUGCCCGGUGGUUGCUCUGGAAAAGUGGCCUCGGCAGAGGCCUGCUCUCUCUCCCAGGGGGCUGCGCGUCCUCUCUCCUUCCAGAAGCCCGAGGACACAGGACUGCUGGCCAUGAGGUCACCAGCAGAACUCACGGUGCCCGCCGCCCUUCUAAGCACUGGCCUUUGGGCCCCUUCUAGUCCCCAGCGACUGGGAUCCAUCCAGCGCCCGGCUCCAGCUGCCCCCUGGGAACUGGCCAUGUCCACGCCUGGGUGCUCCCCUCCCUGGCUCUGCCAGCCCACCCAGUUUGGCCCUGGCCAUCGUCCUGCCCCUCCCUCCUGCUCCAGGGAUUCCUCCCCGGGCCGCUCUUCUCUGCGCCUGGCGCCCGCCCUGCUCUCCUCCUUUGCAGAGAGCCUGGGGUGGCAUCUUUGAGGCCCAGAGAGGGUCCCAGUGCACAGCUGCCGCGUGUUCUGGGGCCCCCCGGGCUGGGAUCGGCUUGACCCCGUUUCCCGGUUGCCCGGGAGUCCUUGCCAGGGCCGCUUUCCUCUGGGAGAGGCCUUUGGCCCGUCGUUCUACUGAGCUGCUUGUCGUCUUUGUGCCGAGUCGUGGGAGCUCUUCCUGGGGUCUGGGUGGGAAUGCGGCCUGGGGCCUUGUGUUCCAGCCGCUUCCUCCUGCCCCUCGCGGGCCGGUUUCCUCCUCUCUUUGCAGGCCGCUUUGGACGCGGGGUUCGCCUAGACGCUCUGAAUUGGAAGCGCCCCAGAGGUCGGGGAGUGUCCUACCCGCUGCGGGCCCCUGGGCCACUCCCAACCCGCGACGUGGGGCGGCGGCCCCCGAGGAGGAGGUGGCCUUGGGUCCAGCUCUGGGGCCUUGAGGAAGGGCCCCUUCUGGUCUGUGUAAGUGACUGGGGCGCCGCCCGGCUUGCGUUGCGCAUUGCCCCCCCGCAGGACCGACCACGGGCGGCCGCGCAGCCUUGUGUCCUCUGCCCCAGCUCUCCCUGCUCGCCUGCCCGGAUCUGGGCCGUGGCCAAGACACCCGCUGCCCGGCCCGCCUUCCUCCCUGUGCCCUGGGCAGCUCCCGCCGGCCCUGGCCCUCACCGCCUGGCCCGGAUCCAGUGCUCCAGCCCCAGAACCGUAGGAGUUUCUCAUUUGGCCUCAGCGACCCUCGGCGGCCUCUGCAAGAAGCUGCGGCGCGGGCUGGUGCCUGCACAGGGCACGUGGUCCAGGGAGUUUCCGGGCCCUUCUGGCGCUGCCCUGCUUGCAUUCCUGUCCCCGGCCAUUAUGUCACCUCUAACCUGGGGCGAGGGGCGCUCUUGGGCCUCGGGGGUGCUCUUGGAUCUCGGGGCCCUUGACCGCCCUCAGUCUCUGAGCAGAGAAGCUCCCACCGGGCACCUGGCCCUGCUCGGCUGCAGGGACCUCCCCGCGUCGGGCUGUGGCCGGCACCCGGGUGCGGCUUGUGUGUUUGUGAGACGCAGGGGCGGGAAGAGGGCUCUGGAGUGCGCGCUGCCCUCCCGGCACCCCGCCUCGUCUGUCCGGGGCUCCGGGGAGCGGGCCACUGCGCUCGCUUGGGGCGGUCGAGCCGCCCCUCGAGGGGCUGCGGGUCACCGUGACGCUGCGACGCUCAGGAAGAGAGGCUGUGAAGGGUCAGGAGCAGAGGACACUCCUCAGGGACACCCCGAGGCCAGGCGUCCCCAGCUGGGGUGUAUGUCCCCUGCUUUUGCUGUGCCUCUUUCCUUUAGUCCCUGGAGCUCACGCAGUGUCACCGUCCUGCCUGGGACUUUUCACGUAAGUUAAAUGCCAUCCCAGGUUCUGGAAGAUUCCUCAGAAAUCAUGGCGGGAAGCCCUGCUCCUCCUUCUGGCAGAUAUUGAUUCCAGGCGCUCUGGGCUCAAUACCAGCUGUCGCGGCCCCGGGAGUGGCCCGUCCUACCUGGGACCUGCGGCCCCUCUGCUCAGAAGCUGCAGCGCAGGGGGGGCCUCCUGAAGCCGAGACGGGGCUUUGGGCGCUCCCACCGCAGUGUCACUUGGACGCUGUGCCCGGCAGCCCCCUGCGCUCUGGUUGUCCAGUUUCCCAGCGUUGUGUCACCCAGUGCGUGGCCCGAGGUCCCUUUGGGAAGGGCUGGGGCCACUGCAGUGUCUACUUGCCUCGGUGGUGCCGCGUCCUUCUCCCUGGGGACCCGGCCACAUCCCCGGGCCCCAGUUCCGGUAUCUGAAAACCGGCUCGGGACAGGACCUGGGCAAGGGGUCAGGACCUGUUUAUGGGGGUGGCUGCCCUCGGCCUCCUGCUGUCCCGGCUCUUUCGAGUGUCCAUUUUAGACAGUCCCCUGGCCGCUUGCCUGUCCUUCCCACCCCCGAAGGCCGUGCCGUAGCGCCCACCCCCCGCUCUGUGGCCAGCAUCAGAGCUCCCGGUCAGCAGUGGCCAUCGUCAUCGUCCCCGGCUUGGCGGGCAGGCCCUCUGCCGCGGUUCCUGGGUGGCGGGGUGGGGGGUCCUCUCCUCCCUUCCCAGGCUCGGCGCCCCGCCCUCUUGGCCGGAGACUUGGCUCGGCCUGGCGGCCUGGCGGCCGGCUGCCCACCUCUUCCCGUCGUCCUGGACUCCGCUGCCUGCCGUGCUGAGGUCCCACAGCACAUGGGGGGGGUCCCCCUGUUUCCCGGACAGGGCACACCCGUGGGGAAGACCCGGGUCCCGUUUGGCUCCCUUGGGGGGAGGGAGGUGGGUGCAGUAGCUCCUUGUGGGGCGGGGGGAGCUGCGGGCCCAGAAGUUUCAGAGACACCAGGGGUCCGUCCGAUGCAGGGCCUCCCAGUCUCCCUGUCCCUGGUGUCGGGGGUGCGGGUUUUCCCGGGUGGGCUUUGGGCGCUGGUGUGACUGACCUGCUGGUGGGAGGUUCGGCCCCUCCUGUCGAACCCCGCGGGGACGUUUGUGGGCUGCCUGAGCCGGGGCUCCCCCGGGCUCUGACUCUGCCCUCUGCCCUAAGCUUCCCAUCCCCCUGCGGUCAGCAGAGCCCAGAAGUCCCCCUCGUCUGUUCACCCCCAUGCUCCGCACGCCUGGAUCUUCUCCCCCAGCAGGAAAUUCCUCUCCACCUGCCGGCCCAGCAAAGGCUCCAGCGUGAACGUUCCAGCAGCCGGACUCUGGCCUUGCACCCGGGGCUGGGUCUUUGUUGAGAGCAGGUUUCUGCCAGCCCGUCUGGGAGCUGCAGGGCAGGGACGGGCAUUAGAGGUCCCCGCCAUGGGCCCCGGCGGUCAGGCCUCGCUGUGCCCAAGGCCUCGCGACCCACAUCGACCGGCCGGCCGGCCGGGAGAACCAGCAUCCGGAACUGGUGCCCGAGGCGUGGCUCUGUGCUGAGUAGGCACGCGGGGCACCAGCUGCCUCGGUCCCGGCGGCUCCGCGCUCUGCCCUGCUGUGGGCCUGGUGGCAGGCCACCUCCUCCUGGCGUCUCCUCAGCUUUCCAAUUCUUGUUCUUGACUUCAGAAAGAACUUUGGUGAGGUGAUGGGCCUGCCUCCGAGUACCAGGAGUACCAGGUUCUGACUGAUGAUGGCAAUGAACUGUCCAUCUCGAGUCACCUCGCACUCAUCAGCUGUUCACCAUGACAUGGUGCUGUGCCACUCUGGCCUUGGCAGAUGGAAGAGACAUGCCCGCCCGGAGUCAACCUGUGCAGUUUGGGUGAGGAGGCAGCCCCUGUAUCCCCACAAAAGAGGAGGGUUUGGCUCUUAGCCCUACUCUUCACCAGCUGCAUGACUUUGGGCCACGGACUCAGCUCUCUGCGUAAAGUCUCUCAUCUCCGGAAUCAUCCUAACAACGCUGGCUUCGUAAGGCAGUUGUGAAGACCCGUGCCUCUCCUCCCAGCGCUUCACCUCUCAUCCCGCUGCAGAAAGGAAUGUUUCAACAGGGAGCCAAGAUGAAAUUGUAACGCCUUCUCUUCUCAAAGUCCUAGACUCCCACCCCUGCCUCAGAAGCAGCUCCUCUGCUCACGAGCCAAAGCCGCCCGGAAGUCCCUUCCCGGGGUCAGUGCCGCUUGGGUGUCGGAUGCCCACCUGCCCAAGCUUGGCGGUCUCCACAUUAGGACCCGUGAAACGUCAAAACUACAAAGCAUUUGGGAAGUGGUGGACUAGUCAGAACCAGGACAAGCCUUAGGAUGAUCCCGGAUCCAGGGCAGGCUUUUUACCGGGCUUGGGGAUGAUCCUCGCGGCCUUUGGUGCUGACCUGAUGUUUUCCCACUGCUCAAGAGGUGAGAAAAUGUAAGCUCAAUGAAAGGACCUUCAUAUGGAAUCUCAGCCUGCAGAGAUCUUUGCUAUAGCUCGUGCCUGACACUCCACAGUGCCUCCUGCCUGCUGUCCAGCACAGCCCCUUGUUGCUUUGCUGCUGCCCUUCACUGAGGCUGCUGCCUGCCUUGCCUGGACCUCUGUCUGCUGCUGAUUACGAAACCCUCUUAAGGUUUUCUAGCUGGGCCCAUCCCUCAGAAUGGAAACUACUGUGUCCAGACUCAAUCACUAUGUCCCAGUUAUGGCAGGGAGAAGAGAUGCUCUUGGGAGUUUCGGAGCCAGCAAGAGAUAAUGAGGGGAAAGGGGGAAAAUGUCCUCGUGAUCUUCCAGGAAGCAAAGUUGCACGUGACGCCAAGGUGAGACUGUUACUGCUGUUGCCAUUGCUAUUCGUAGUCAGCCUACGAGUGCCCAGCUGCUUGCAAAGGUGCCUCUGGCUGGCUGAAAUGACCUGGAAUCCCAGCCCCCAGAGCGUGUGCCCCCUAGCUCCAUGCCCUUGGGCUGAGGACUUACUCACUCUUUCUGAAGCUCCAUUUCCCCAUCCGCCAAAUGAGGCUUUGUGGAGAUCAUACCUUUGCUCAUUUUCAAACUCUCAGGGCGGCGUCAGCCAAACCAGUCGGUGGACAGUGCAUGGGAACGUGUGUGGUGCACCAUGCAGAUGAUGUGGUUUUCCUUCACGCAUCGGCGGGGGCCACAGACCUGGACCCUCUUGCCUGCUGUUGGUGGACUGCAAAGAUUGGGAUCAGUGUCCUGAGGGCAUAGCAGGUCAGAAAAGAGGCAAAUGGCCUGACAUGGAGCCAGCUGAGACGAGGGAGACAGUAUACGAAGCCAAGGGCUUUGGGGAGCCAGCAGAGCCCUUGCAUGGGGAAGUGUAAAGGAAAGGAAUUUCCUGAGUGGAGAGGAAUUUCCUGAGCUAGAGUACAGGGGCUCCUGACUUCUUUUUGUUUGGGGCUUGCUGUUGCUGGUCUAGCAGCUCAGACUGAAGCUGUUUUGGAAGCAGCUAAUAGGGUAGAAGAAGAACAGACCAAAUGUGAGGGACUGUUCUGGUAAGAUCUGGCAGGACUGGGGGACCCGGGAAAGGGUACAAGGCCAGUGCCAGCUAGCCCAAGGGAAACCCUGUUCAGAGGAGAGAGAGUGGGAAGUGACCUAGGUGAGCAGCAGAGGCAGGCCGUAUUUGGACACUGUGAUGAUUAAUUUUAGGUGUCGACUUGGCUAGGCUCUGAUGCCCAGUUGUUUGGUCAGACGCUAGUCUGGAUGCUGGUGUGAAAAUAUUUUUUAUAUGUGAUUAACAUUUAAAUCGGUUGACUUUGACUAAAGCAAAUUGCUCUCCAUGAUGUGGGUGGGCCUCAUCCAAUCAGUUGAAGGCCUGAAGAUGAAAGACUGAGGUUUCCCAAAGAAGAAGAAAUUUGCCUUCAAGACCGUAUCAUAGAAACCCUUGCCAGGUUUCCAACCUGCCUGGCCUGCCCCGAAGAUUUUGAACUCAAGACUACAGCGUCCGUUCUUACCUGAUUUCUAGCCUGUUGGGCUGCACUACAAAUUUCAGACUUGUUCGCUCCUAUAAUGGUGUGAGCCAGUUCCUUCAAAUCCCCUCAUGCAUCUAUGUAUUUGUAUAUGCACAUGUAUUGUGUAUAUGUGUUUAUGCGCGUCCGUGUAUAUAUUAUAGGUAUGUGUAUAUACAUAUUUGCAU